GUAUAAUUCCCAGCAUUUCAGAGGUAGUGUUGGCUGAGAUUAGCAAGACUAACUUAAUAAAGCACUAUCGUAAUUGCAUAUUCACUGGGAAAGGGAAAAGUAAUCAAAUGAAAAAGGACAAAACCGGCAGGGAAAGAAAAUUUAUUUCCAAGCAUCUACGAGAGUGCUACAAACAAUAGAGACUAAAACUCAAAGCAUUUGAAACUUAAAAAACGUAGUUGACAAUGUCCUUCUUAAAAAUCAAACAUAAAAACGUAGAAAAUGCAGUUAUUAAUUCUAAAACUUGCUCAAUAGUGAAACAAGACCAGAUAGAUAGCAUCAAUGAGGAUGGAGUCCUACAAAUGACUUUUUGUUUUUUUUAUUUCCAUUUGUUAAUUUGUAAAUUGAUACUCAUUUCAUUUUUUAAUAUUCAUUUAAAUUUAAAAUGGAGAAAUGUGCAAAUCUAGCAAAAUAUUCUUUGGAUUAUAAACAGAGAAAAAUCAACAACCAAAGAAAUUUGAACCAAGUUAAUAAAGUAAACUAUAGAAUUAUAUAGAAUGCAUACAGCUAUAAUAAAGUGAAAUAUAACAAUAAACAUUAUAGAGCAAAUCUGCUGAUUUAGCAAACUCUGCCUUAUUAAACAUAGGGAUAUAAUGGGACAAGUGAAUAUGUCGUGAUUAUAGAGCUGAAACGUCAUUCAUAAUUUUAAUGAGUUAAAUUUUAAUCUAACUACAUACAUGGGGGUCUUCAGAAAAGCAGUACACCAACAGAUCAGAUUUCCUCUCAGAUCAAGCAGUUGGGUACCUGACUGCAAUUGAAGGACGGGGUCUGUAAAAUGAACAGUAGAAAAAUGGAUAUCGCUUCUAUUUAUUGCCUCUUCCCAUAUUGCAGCUGCUGAUCUCUGACCCUAAACAGCAAACUACAUUAAAUUUAGAAGAACUACAGCUGUACACAGAUGCUGAAAAUGUGGAUGCACGGAACAUAUUCCAAUCCCUCGCUCGUUCUGAACUAAUAUAAAAAAAGUUAUAGAUCAUUUUUCGAUUAAAAACAUACAUUACAAAGAACGACUCUGAAAGCACUCCGUAUUUCUGUCAUCACAAAUUAGAACGCCUUCCUAUCAGUGGAUGAACCUAUUCUACUGCAAUAAAUGAAAAAAUAAAAUGAAAUAAAAGUAAGUGCCAGAAUCUUAAUUAAUACUCAGGUAAGGUAAUUGUCAGGUAGAACAGUCUUUAGGGAACUUAUAGCUAAAUGGGGUCAGAUUUCAGUCUCUCAAACCCGCAGCUUAGCGCAGACAGGGAAAUCACAAGCCUGGAAUAGGCUGUAAGCACAGAGUACUCCCGUCCACUUAUCAAGUCAGUUCUGAAACCUCUGGAAUUUCUAAGAUAUAAGAUAAAUGCAUAUUACAUGGGACAUAUUUAAAAGUAUUACACUUAAUUUAAUCCAGAAAACACAGUAGUAUUAUAGGAAGAUUAUUACUGUGUUCUGGGAGCAGCCACAAGCUGUAGAUAGAGGGUACAAAAUGUUCACCAGACGUUACAUUUUUUUUCUUUUAAAUCUAAAAAACAUUUUUAAAAUGUACUUGAUUUUUAAAUAAUCACUUAACAAGGCAACAAACCAACUACAAACACAUAAUAAAUAAGGCUAUUAAAAGACCACAACUGUAGUAAAUUAGUCAGAACUAUAAAUGGGACAUUAGAAACACUAUGUUUUGUUCUUAUAUGCUUAAUAACCAGAACAAGAAUUAAAAAAAGAAUCAGUUUAUUUCAAAGUCUGCUUCUUAUAUUGAAGCACAUAUUAAAGCAACAGUACAAUGUUCAUAAAAUAUAAGUGUGAUGCUGUAACAUUUCUUACAUGUCAGAAUACUGAUAUUUGUAUGUAUACUAAAAUAAGAAUUUUAAAAUUGUACAAAUAGAUACAUUAAAAAUGACAUAGAAAUAGGGCGCCUCCCACUGCAACAAGACAGAGUUUUUAUAUCUGGCACGUAUUAGUUCAAGAUGAAAGUAUAAGCAAAAAGAUUUACAAGAAUCAGCUGUAACAAGUUUUGAUGCUCAAGAGACAUAAUAAUUGUACAUUGUACUGUACAUACAUCAUAUGGGUUUAAGCUGGCUGAAUAUUAUAUAUUUCAAGUUUAAAAAUGCACUACCAUAUAGAGUGUCCAUAGUUUAAGGCGAAAUUACAGCUCAGAACUGUUAACUUUUCUAAUUUGUGGAAGCUUCUUUGACAUAAAAGAUUUAGAUGUUCAUAACACAUAAAAGAUUUCCCUUAUUUGUGGGUUCACUUUUAGCAUUUUCCUUCAUUUAAAUAUUCUGUAUUUCUUAAGUGGGUUUUUUCCUCUAGUGAAGUUGGCAGCCAACUUCUGUAUUUGCCUUCUGUAGGAAAAGGUACUUCACAGUAUUUACCACUUUUAUGUCCUUUUUUAUCAAAGGAAUCCCUUCUGUCAAAUGUUUAAAUGAGACUUUUCUUGAUUUUUAAAAAAAUACCUGCUUACAUUUCUUCUGGAUUCUUCAGAACAUUGGACACAGUUCUUAAGGCCAAAUAUUAAACUUUAUUGUUAAGAAUCAUCAUCGAAAGUGUCUUUGGAGCCAUACAAGUCUGCAAGUUUCUUAAAUCGAGGUCCCCAGUUUUGUAGAUAGUCGUAGUCCAAAUCAGAAUCUGUUGUCGCUGACUCUAAUGAGCUAAGUGAACCAGCCACUGAGCCUCUUCCUUCAUAGCCAUAGAUCUGAAUAGAAUCAUACGGAGGAGCAGUUGGAUCGUUAUCAGCCUCUUGUAUUCUUGUGUUGAUGAAAUCAUCAACAUCAACGCUAUUGGGAGCUGGUCGAAGCCCCGGUCUUGGCAUAUACUGAUACUCAGGUUUUAUGUCUUUACGAGGAAUAAAUCCAUUGAUGCCAUCAGGGUUCUGCAAAGUAGCUAUGUCAAAAGCUUCAGUAUCUUCCUCUCCUCCUCCUUCAUCAUCGUAAGUAAUAAUGUUCUCGCGGACAUCUUCUUCUUCAAAAACAAUGAGAGGUUCUUUCUUCUGCCUUUUCAGUGUUACAAACAACACUACAAUGACAAGCAAAAUCACAAUGCAAGCAAGAAUGGCAAUUAAAGCUCCGGUGCUUAAUCCCGCAUUGAGUAUGUAGGCUUCGGCAUUACAGGAGAGCAAGGAGCCAUUGCUGUCACAGCCGCAGACUCGGAUGGUCAGGGUGUUGGUGCUGCUCAUAGGGGGGAGUCCUCCAUCACUUAUUACAAUAGGAAGAAGGUAUAAGUCUUGCUUUUGACGACUAAAUCCUUCGCGUCUAACAAGAACACUUGCAGUGUUAUCUGUUUAAAGAAGAGAGAUAGUCAUCACUUUUUCCUCAAAGUCAUCCAUCCCCUCAGUAAGUAUGGAAAAAAUAUAUUAUUUUACUGCAAUGGCUCUGAAUUUUUGAAUGAUUUAGCAUGUAAAAACAACCAGUACAAUGUAUCACCUUCGUAAUGACCCUAAAACAUUACAGUCCUAUGUUUCAUUCACGCAGUACUACAAUACAUUUUAAUUAUCUUAGGGUGAUUAGGAACACAACAUCCAGCUCUCUUUGUUAAUACUGAUUUGCAUAUAUAUUGUUCUCUUUUCAAAGAAUCUUAGCAGCCUUCAUAUGUGAGUUCACAAAUUACUUAAACACCAUAAGGCAAUAUGGUCACAGUAAACAAAGCAAUGAUUUUGCAACUCAUAAUGUUUAUGAUUAUUAUAAAACAGACAUCGUAUAAACAGCUGAACAUUAGAUAUAUCAACUAAGGCAAUCUGAUACAUUAACUAUAAAUACUAAGAAGUACGUAUGUUUUUGAAAGCCUAUUCUACAAAUCAUUAUCAUAGAUGAUGAGAGUGGUGUCUUUAGCACCUUGCUAACUAUCUGGGAAAUUCACAGUACUUCAUCAACUCCUAGAAUGACUGUGCCCUGGCAUUGCUCUUUGUGCAAGUUCUAGGCUCUUUCCAGAAUUAAUUAAAACCUCUGGUAGAAGGGAAGAAAGCAAAUCCCUGAUUUAUUGUUCUUGGUACCAGAUCUACAGGAAUGGAAGACACAGAAUUGGCCUGUUAAGGAGACUUCCAUCAACAUAAAAAAAAGUCAACACUUCUUACUGUGUAUUAGCAGAUUUGUCCAUCUGUUUCACUAGGACACACUGAAGUAAGCCAUAUGUUGGCAGAACUAGUUUUCACCCAAACUCUCCAAAGC
rnacentral:lncRNA from 1 species